rnacentral:tRNA from 1 species
CACUAGAGAGCUAUUUCAUUCAGCAUUGGCCUUUUAAUCCAAAGAAAAUAAUCUCUUUAUUUCUAGUGA